rnacentral:ncRNA from 1 species
CAGCUGUUCCGGAGCUAUGAACCACCUGGCGCAAACGGGCGCUUGCCAGGUGUGGAGCGAGUGGCGCGACCGACAGAACGGAGG